rnacentral:rRNA from 1 species
UACGUAGGUGGCAAGUGUUGUCCGGAAUUAUUGGGCGUAAAGCGCGCGCAGGCGGUUUCUUAAGUCUGAUGUGAAAGCCCCCGGCUCAACCGGGGAGGGUCAUUGGAAACUGGGGAACUUGAGUGCAGAAGAGGAGAGUGGAAUUCCACGUGUAGCGGUGAAAUGCGUAGAGAUGUGGAGGAACACCAGUGGCGAAGGCGACUCUCUGGUCUGUAACUGACGCUGAGGCGCGAAAGCGUGGGGAG